rnacentral:lncRNA from 1 species
CUUGACUUUACAAACUCGACAAAUUAGUCCUUUUGGUCACAGAUUGCCAAUUUCAACAUUUUCCUAACAAACUCCCCCUUUGGCAUUCUGUGACAAAAUUACACAAGACAAUCAAGGACACAAAAAAAAAAUGUAACUCCUAACGACCUAUUCAUUCAACCAAAGCAACUAUCUCCUGUCGAACCUGUUUCCUGAAAUACAGAAACUCAAUACCAAGUAUAAAAGCACGUGAAAUGGAAACAAUAGAUAAAAAAAGGAAUAGUGCAUAUGUAAUUAACCAGAUUAAGAAGCAAUAGUAAUGUAAGUCAAAAAAUACCAAAAACAUACAUCAAUAUUGCUAGAACAUCAAAACUUAAUCUAGUCAUUAAAUAGAUAUCAAACCACAGUUAAUCCAAUAUAUCACAAUUAAAUUGAGAUUAAAUUAUCUACUCCCCCUUUUUGUCACAAAUGACAAAGGAUCAAAAACUAAAACUAAAACUAAGAAGCAGCACCACCCGCACUCGGUGACUCAUCACUAGUCUCAUCACUCGAGCUCUCAUCCAAUCGAUCACGAAUCCAACACAACUGACGCUGACACACUGAUAGAGCAUGUCGAAAUGAAGAAAGCUCAGUAGACUGAUGCUCCGAAGAAGCAUGUAACUGCGUGAUCUCUGCCAUCAUACGAGCCUGCUGCGCGACUAAAGUAGACAUUUGACCCAUAAGCGUCACCAUGGGGUCAACAGGCAAGGAAGCCACCCUUGGAGCAGAAGUAGAUGUCGAAGGAAAGGCAACUCGAAGCGGAACAGCUGAAGGAAAAUCUGAACGAGGCGGAAGAAAGACACGAGAACCCCCCAGUAAGAAUAUCAGUAAUAGGAUCAAAGGGUUCCGAAAAAUCAAAAACAUCAACGGGCUCAGCCUGAGCGGCAGCAUGAGUCGAAGAGGACGGGACAUGGGAUCGACUAUGGUGAAUGGUCUACUGUCCUAUCGGGCGACCUAUACGAGUAGAAGACCCGUCAGGGAAAGAUGCACCAAGAGAAAGGACAACCCGAUGAAUCAAACAGGCAUAAGGUAACCCUAAAUGACGCCCAGGAGUACGAAAAGAAGCUAGAAUCUGCUGGUACACAAAAGUAGGAAGGUCGAUAGAGUCUCCAUGAAGUAGGGCAUAUAGAAAACGAGCCCGUACCAUCGGUAAAGAAGAAGUAUGGGCAACAGGCCACAGGUUUGUGCACACGAUGUGCAACAAAACCUGUUGAUCAGUGGGCAAUGAACCCGUGGCCAUAGCCGUAGGCCCCCCAGUAGAUGGGGUGUUCAAAAGAGUCGACCGAACAAGGGCAUCGAUCGGAAGAGAAGCAGGGAGAAGAUAGGGAUACGUCGGAUGAGGAAUCUGAGGUAUACCUAACGCAAGAGCUGCUACAGACGGAGUAACUCGAAAAGAAUGAUCCCUAAGAAAACUCCUAACGACGACACAUCCACCUUAUGAAUAUUAGCAUAAAACUCUUGAACGAGGAGUGGAGGCAGCGGUGUAAGACCAACAAGAAGGGACUCCCAAUCCCGGGAAACAAAAAUAGCGGCGACGUCAACAGGAAGGUCAGAUAGAAUUACCUCACGCUCCAUGAGAACAGAGCGUAAGGAGAACUGAGACGUGAAGACCUCUUAAACUGUAGCAUAAAUAAAUCGGGAUCUACUAUAAGAUGUUGAUCCACAAGUGGGCUGUGCAGAGGUACGACAGCACUUACAAGCCAUCUGGCACAUGCUGAGAUGAAAAGAAUAAGCAUAAUGUGAAAUGCACGCAUCACGAUGCAACAUGAUAUGAGAAGAUGCACACACGGAAACACAUAUGAUCCAAUCACAUAAACAUGAAUGAAAACACGCACGGCAUGCAACGACACUCAAACAAGUAGGAAAGAAACGAAGGAAAAGAAGGAAAUCAAAAAAAAUCAAAAGAAACCAAAUAAGCAUAAAAAGUGAACUUUCAUCGGACACGUGGCGUGCGUGACUUCGGCACCAAAUUCCAAGCACAUACGAGACCCAAUCACAAAUCCAAACACAUCCCUAAAAACUACAUGCUAUGGACUUCACAAUCAAACAAACCACACAUCAAACGAAUCAACGAGGUGCAAGAACUACAUUGAUGAACAUGGAUUAAAAACUUAAAAAAAAUGUGAAGAAAACCAUAGGAAUGCACUAUAAUUUGGGAAAUGGAAAGCAAUACUUGAUGCAAAACAUGUGUACAAGCAAGAUGUAAUGCCAGAAUAACAUAAACCAACACAAUGAUCAAGAAAAGAAAUCAAACAAACCAAAAAAAAAUUGAAAGUAAAGAAAGUUGGGAAUUACCUAAAGAUUUUGCCAAGAAGUCAGUGUUUCAGACCCAAGAUUGUGUUAAAGAUGUCGAAUUGAGACCAAAAAUGAAUUGGGAGUGAAGAAUUUCGAUGGAAGAAGAAAAGAAUUGAAGGAGGAGGAAAAAAAUGAUGAAAUGCGCGAAAAAUUGAAACAGCCGCAUUUUAAAUAUAUAUGUCGCUCGAGCGAGACCGGGGCGAAACUCGAGCGACAUCCUUUCUGCUUUUGUUGCUCGAGCGAAGUCCAGGCGAGACUCGAGCGAAAAUGAAAUGUCAAAAAUAGCACCAAACAUUUGAAAUUUAUGAAAAGUAGCACAAUUUUGGAAAAUAACGAAAAUGAGUCCAAAAACUUUUAUUUUUAUUUUCAGUUGUAUGUAUUUUUUUUUUGUAAAGACAAACUAAAAAAUCGAUGAUGAAGCACAUACCCAAAUAUGUAGACGAUACGAAUAAUAUGCACAAAAUCACAAACCCGACAUUCAGAGCAUGUAGACAAAUCUUAAGUCCACACAUAGUUCAAAAUCCCAUGAAGUAAAUUUUAUACAGAACAUGAGCGUGAAAUGUGCCAUGUAGUCCAUGCAAGUUAGACUCAAAACCUUAAAUUAGUGAGAAAGGACACGUGAAAACAACUGUAAAAGAGUAUAUAUUGACCAAGUACCAGUUAAAUCCAAUUUCAUGAG